UACGUAGGGGGCUAGCGUUGUCCGGAAUCAUUGGGCGUAAAGAGCGUGUAGGCGGUCCGGUAAGUCCGCUGUGAAAGUCGGGGGCUCAACCCUCGAAUGCCGGUGGAUACUGUCGGGCUAGAGUGCGGAAGAGGCGAGUGGAAUUCCUGGUGUAGCGGUGAAAUGCGCAGAUAUCAGGAGGAACACCAAUUGCGAAGGCAGCUCGCUGGGACGUAACUGACGCUGAGACGCGAAAGCCAGGGGAGCGAACGGG
rnacentral:rRNA from 1 species